GUGCUUGCUUUGGCAACACAUAUACUAAAAUUGGAACCAUACAGAGAAGAUUAGCAUGGCCCCUGCAUGAGCAUGACAUGCAAAUUCGUGAAGCAUUCCAUAUUUUU
rnacentral:snRNA from 1 species